GCAUAUCAAUAAGCGGAGGAAAAGAAACCAACCGGGAUUACCUCAGUAACGGCGAGUGAAGCGGUAACAGCUCAAAUUUGAAAUCUGGCUCUUCCGGAGUCCGAGUUGUAAUUUGUAGAAGAUGCUUUGGGUUGUGGGUUCGGCCUAAGUUCCUUGGAACAGGACGUCAUAGAGGGUGAGAAUCCCGUAUGUGGCCGAGGCCCGCGCCUAUGUAAAGCUCUUUCAACGAGUCGAGUUGUUUGGGAAUGCAGCUCAAAAUGGGUGGUAAAUUUCAUCUAAAGCUAAAUAUGGGCCAGAGACCGAUAGCGCACAAGUAGAGUGAUCGAAAGAUGAAAAGCACUUUGGAAAGAGAGUUAAACAGUACGUGAAAUUGUUGAAAGGGAAGCGCUUGCAACCAGACUUGGGCGCUGCCGAUCACCUUGAGUUUUCUCGAGUGCACUCGACAGCGCACAGGCCAGCAUCGGUUCGGGUGGCUGGAUAAAGGCCGUAGGAAUGUGGCUCUCUUCGGGGAGUGUUAUAGCCUACGGUGCCAUGCAGCCCAGCCGGACCGAGGACCGCGCCUUCGGGCUAGGAUGCUGGCGUAAUGGUUGUAAGCGACCCGUCUUG
rnacentral:rRNA from 1 species